UGGUAGACAUCAUCCAGGGGUUGAAUAUGAACCCCAGGUAGACAUCAUCCAGGGGUUGAAUAUGAACCCCAGGUAGACAUCAUCCAGGGGGUUGAAUAUGAACCCAAGGUAGACAUCAUCCAGAGGGUUGAAUAUGAACCCCAGGUAGACAUCAUCCAGGGGGUUGAAUAUGAACCCACGGUAGACAUCAUCCAGGGGGUUGGUAGACAUCAUCCAGGGGGUUGAAUAUGAACCCCAAGGUAGACAUCAUCCAGAGGGUUGAAUAUGAACCCCAGGUAGACAUCAUCCAGGGGGUUGAAUAUGAACCCAAGGUAGACAUCAUCCAGGGGUUGGUAGACAUCAUCCAGGGGUUUGAAUAUGAACCCAAGGUAGAAAUCAUCCAGGGGUUGAAUAUGAACCCCAAGGGAGACAUCAUCCAGGGGGUUGGUAGACGUCAUCCAGGGGGUUGAAUAUGAACCCCAAGGGAGACUUCAUCCAGGGGGUUGGUAGACAUCAUCCAGGGGGUUGGG
ensembl:lncRNA